UCACGUGACAAACCCGGAAUUUUUCUUCCUGGGAGUUGUCGUUGAUUAUACAUUUCACCUGUUGACGUAUUGCGGAUGGAAUUUAUUGGAAUUUUAUUGAAAUGUGCGUUUUCCAUCGCAUUAUGAUUACAAAUAGAAGCAUCAACGCACUGACUAUAACAUUUUUUUUGCGUUUACAUUCAAAUAUAUAUUUGUAUGUAAUACAAAAUAUUGAAAUCUGACGGUAUCAGGGAAACCUGUGUUUUCAUACUAGAAGCCCUUGUAGUUACAGCAAAAUCUCCCCACGUAUUGUCAUAAAGGCAACAAUUAAGUGGAAUUGUUUAUUUUUCCUUUCACAUCCAUCCAAAGUGGAUGGCGCAGUCGUAACGGACUACGUCAUCGAAGAUGGGCUGAGCGGGAGAAUCAACAGUGCAGCACAGGACAGCUCAGCCAACGAGUGUGGGUGGAUCAGCCUUAUGGCUUCAGUCAUUCAUCCAUCCGUGAUGGCAUCAAAGACACAAAAGCAGAGAGAGAAGGACAUGUACAUGCUGUACCUUGAAGUUUCUUUGCAUCAAAACAUACUCGAAAGUGUGUGUGUGGGUAUGUGUGUAAUGCAUGUUUUAAACAAAUUUGGGGAAGGGGUGAAAGGAUUACAGCUGUCUCGUGGCUGUGGGAAGGAGCAAAGCAUUUCUUCCCAAUGGUCAUUCCCAUGAACCCUUUGCACUGCAGGGGCACAGUGGGAGGCAAAACUAAGGACAGGGGAGUGUAUCACCGCUGGCGAGACGAUGCACAGUCAAACUGCCAGCCAAACAUAGUAGAAAAUAAAUUACUGAUGGGAUUUACUGUAGAUCAACUCUUAAGCAGAUUUUUUUGUUUCUAAACUUUGUAGCCUUUUUUUUUCUUGGUUUCAAGACUACAUAUCAGACGUCACCUUUGCCGUAGCAUCAGUCCAUUGUCAACAGGUUUUGCCCAUGUGAGAUCUACCAGGCACUCUCUAUGGAGGGCAUGAUUAGGACAAGAAGGCUGGGCAUCCCAGCCCCGAAAGCAGCCAGAAAAUAGACCCAUACUAUGAUAAGGGUGAAUAAUCCAGAACAGUUUAUGGAAUUUACAAGCUUGUCAUGGUUUCACUCCCAUAUCCUCCAGCAAAGCACAUUUACUGUGAAGGAAACGGCAGAAAUAAUCAUAUCAUGCAAUGGUGUUCAGGGAGCUUGAGGAGACGGCUAAACUUCCAAGUCCUUCACUGUCACAGCUUGAAUGGAUGACUUCACAGAACUUUUCCUGGAGGGGUAAAAUGCCUUGGCUGCAUGUUUCACAUCCUGGCACUAACUAGUUGGAUGUUUUUGUUGAAGACUACAUUCCAUGAAAUAUGUUUCUGUAAUUUUUACGAUCACAUUAGAAUUCGGAACAGAUUUGUUUGCUGUGAAAAUGUUUGUUGCGUUCGGUCUGGCCAGACUGUCUCCCGCAGUGGUGUGUUGUGUAUGAAGUUCGAGACCAUUUAUCUGUAAGCUUGUACAAACACAUGUACACUCACAAAAACAAGAUGGCGCCUACACGGGUGGACGCCUUAGUAACACGAUCGCUAUUAUUGUCGUUGGUUUUGUCUUUUUUUGUUUGUCUUGUCAUAGUGGCUGUUUGUUGUCGUGAAAUAAAGCUGAUUCUGAACACAGUA